rnacentral:rRNA from 1 species
AAAAGACUCUCGGCAACGGAUAUCUCGGCUCUYGCAUYGAUGAAGAACGCAGCGAAAUGCGAUACUUGGUGUGAAUUGCAGAAUCCCGUGAACCAUCGAGUCUUUGAACGCAAGUUGCGCCCGAAGCCAUUAGGCCGAGGGCACGCCUGCCUGGGUGUCGCA